CCGAGCCCCGGGAAGGCCGCUCAGGGAGGAGGCGUUCUCGCGCCCGCGCCCCCGGCGCUUGGCCGAGUCCCGCGCAGGACGGCGGCGGCGGGGACGGCAGUGCCGGCCUCGGACGCGUCCCUACUUCCGGUCACGUGCCGCACGCGCUGGCAAGUCCUGCUUCAGGGAAGUUAUGGGUGGACGUGCGAGGGCCGCGGACAGAGCGCAGUGGCAGGGGCCUGCUUGGUCUAGUUCUCCGCCCACCUGUCUACUCCUCCUGGCUCCACUCGUGCUGCUGGGCUGUCCCGACCACUAGUGAGAAUUACUGAAGCCCGCUUUAUUGUUCCGGAAGAGCCAAAAUGAACUGGACCAGGGCACAGCCAGAUGCUGCUGACAGGGCGGGGGCCCGGACGCCUCCAUCCGCUCCCGCCCUGGCUCCGGACCGGUUUCCCUGUUUGGCUCAGGCAGCCAGAGUGCCACAUGGGAUCAGCCGCACAGGUCAAGGAUGCGUCCGUGUCACCUUCUCCCUCCCUUCUAGGCUGGUCCCCUGGAGAUUUCACUUCUUUCUGGUCUGGCACCCAAGUCUGACCUUCGGAUGUUCCCUCAUCACGUCCUUCUCCUUCUGGUCUCGUGCUGAAUGUGCAAAGGAGAGAAGCAGACACACGCCUCCCCAAGGGUCUGCCUUGGAGGGGUGAGGGAGGCCCGAGUGGCGGUUAUCGGAAUGGGGACUCCCUGAAGUGCACGUUCUCUUUCUAAACACUUUCUCAAAACUUGUACUUGCCACUAUACUUUAUUGCAUAAUGUCAUUCCUAAUUUUGAAGAAAUGAAUGCACCUUUCCUACGUAAUUUUUCUCAUUUUUAACCAAGCUCG
rnacentral:lncRNA from 1 species